rnacentral:tRNA from 1 species
UUAAUCCUAAUAAAAUUAAUUAUUUCUUAAAAAAUCAAAAUUUUUCGUGCCUUACACCAAAGAUUAA